AUGCCGAUGCCCACCAGCGGUGGCGGGCUCGAUCUGGAUAUUCAUCCUCGUGCCCAGCCGCCGCUCCUCGGCAUAUUCCUCUCCCCGCACCGCCGCUCGCCUCCGUCGCGUCACCCGCACUGCCGCUCACCUCCGCCUCGUCAGCGCCUUCUGCUGCUACUGCCGCCGAGGUUUGAUUGCUGGACGUGGUGCACUGGAUCCGGCAGGCGGUGGUGCUCUGGGGCGUCGCCCCCCUCGUCAGCGCCUUCUCGAUCGUCCUGUACACUCACAAUUAUUGUACAGAUUGAUGCUACGGCUAUACUACAGGUACACACACAUUUCUGA
rnacentral:rRNA from 1 species